GCUCACACAAAGCCUGUUUGGUGGUCUCUUCACACGGACGCGCAUGAAAGGUUAAAAGAAAACUGAAAUGGGAAGGAAAAUCAGCCAAACAUAAACAAAAAAGAAGACAAGAGAAGAGUGGAACAAAUCAGAGUUAAAAAAAUAAUUAUAGGCCCGGCGCGCUGGCUCACGCCUGUAAUCCCAGCACUUCGGGAGGCCGAGGGGGGCGGAUAACGAGGUCAGGAGAUGGAGACCAUCCUGGCUAACACGGUGAAACCCCGUCUCUACUAAAAAUACAAAAAAUUAGCCGGGCAUGGUGGCGAGCGCCUGUAGUUCCAGCUACUCGGGAGGCUGAGACAAGAGAAUGGCGUGAACGCGGGACGCAGAGGUUGCAGUGAGCUGAGAUCGCGCCACUGCACUCCAGCCUGGGCGACAGGGCAAGACUCC
rnacentral:lncRNA from 10 species